AUUAACAAAUAUCACACACACACACACACACACACACACACACACGGUUGUAAUUGGUGAUCAGUGGGGAAACUUACAACAGAAAUUUUAAGAAGGUGGAAUGAAAUUUCUAGAAGUGAAAGCAUAAGAAUUAAAAUUGUAAAAUUCUCUUAAUUUGCUUAACAGGAGGUUUGAGAGGUCAAGAAAAAAGAGACAGUAAAUUAGAAGAAAGCCUAAAGAGCACAGAGAGAAAAUAUUGAAAACAUAAUAAAUGAGACACUGGUGGUCAGUGUACAGUAAGAAAUGAUGUAGUAUAACUAGAGUCCCAGAAAGAGAAUAGAGUUAAUGAGAUAGAAAAAGUAAAGAACUAAUGGAGAAUUUUCCAAUUUUUUAAAAAAAUAUAAACUUAGGCAAUUAAAACUAUAUUUUGGCAUAAAAAUGUCUAAAACCAAAGUCAAUUAAGAAAUCUUGAAAACAAACCAAGAAAAAGACACACUACAUAGAAACAAACAAGAAAUAUGAUUAAUGGUUGGAUUGUCAUCAGAAACAAUAGAACAAGAACACAAUACACUGUUAAAAACUCCAACUCUAAAAUUUAAAAAAGAUCAUCAACCCAAAAUUCUAUAUGUAGUAAAAAUAUCCUUUAAAAAUAAGAUUAAGUAAAAGCAUUUUUAGAUAAAUAAAUGAUGAAUUUAUUGGCAGCUGACCUACACUACAAUAAAUGUUAAAGAAAUUUUUAUUAGCAUUUCACCAUAAGAAGUUUGAAUGUACAGAAAGCCUUGAGAAACAGAAUGUGACAAAUAUGGAAAUAAAUUGAAGAUAUAUUGUUCUUUCGAUUUCUUUAUAUGACAACUGAAAAUUUCAAGAAAAAAAUAACUUUUUACAUUGUUGUAUAUAAUGUAUAUGCAUUAAAGAUUCAUGGCAACAAUACUACAAAGAACAGGGGUGGAGGAUAGAAUUACAGUGUUGGAGGUUUCUUAUACUUUGCAAGAAUGGUACAGUAUUAAUUCUAAGUAGACUGAGAUAAGUUAGAAUGCAUAUUGUAUCCCCAGUUACAACACUUAAAACACACACACACAGCUAUAAUCAAAAACAAAAAGUUGAGUUAUUAAAACAAAAUGUUGAGUGAACCUUUUCAGCCAGAAGAAAGUAUAAAAUAAUGAAGCAAGAAGCAAGUAAUAUAUUGGCAGGUGAAAAGAAAGCCAAGAUAUAUUAAAUCACAAAAAUACCAACAUUUACAUUAAAUAUUAAUAGACUAGAUACCUCCGUUAGAUGCAGAGACUGUUAGACUAGAUAAAAUGCAAAUCCCAAUAUGGUUUGUAUAGAACAUGUACUUUAAUAACAUACAGUUGGAAAGUAAAAAGAUAGACAAGGAUAUAUUAUAUUUUUGAUAUUUUAAAACCAGUUUGGGAUUCAUACUAUUAAUCAAGGAAAAGUCCUAGAUAGCUAGUAUUACCAGAGAGGAGAAAAAGAAAAUGUAUGACAUUGAAAAAGUUAAUCUUUCAGGGAAACAUAUCUAUCCAAAUGUGUACACUUUUGAUAACAUUAAAAAUUCAUGGGGCAUAUAGUGACAGAGGUGAAAGGAAAAAUAAGCAGAUGCACAAUUCAGUUGUUGAUAGAACCAAUAAAAUACCACACUACCAGUGUCCCUGCCUAAAGUGCUCAUUCCUCAUAUUUUUCCAGACUGACUGAAGUGCUCUUUUCUUUCAUCAGUUGAGGCUUAGCAUUCUGUCUAAUCCUACACAGCCUCCCUUGACAACCCAUGUAAAGGAGUCAUGACUUGACUAGUAUUUUCCCAUGAGUUACGUUCGCAUUAGAUGUAUUCAUACCAGGCAUUUUCUUUGUUUAUUUGGUCAUUGCCAGUUUCUCGCCUGUCCAAAUCAUAAGUUCCAUGACUGCAGUCUUUUCUGUUUAGCUGCUCUGCAUUGUACCCUAGUGCUGAUCUGUGUUUUAAAAAAUUUAGGGUGAAAUUUGUUGAAUUAUAGUAUAGGAACAUAAAGUAAAAA